AAAAAAAAUCGAUGCAAAUAUAAGUCAGCAGCCAUACUGCCCGACUUUUCAAAAGCGAACUUUACAGCACUGUUCACGUGCAUACGGGGAUCGCUCGUCGAUCGCCAACUGAAAUACGCAAAUGGACGAAAGGUCAAAGCGUUCAACCAUCAACAGUCGAUCAACUAAAUAUUGUGAUUUUUUUUCACCCAAGCUCGGUCGAACCUUCUUCGUACUCCUCGGUGUAGGUACUGUUUUUGUUGUCAAUUGACGUAAAUGAGCCUGCUACACACCUUUGGAGGCAAUCGUUUAUUCAACUGUUUGUAGAAUGUAUUUAAGUUUGCACUUUCAAUCGAGCGUGGAGUCCGGAUUUCUUCUACGUUUGCACUUUGAUUCUGGGGUUAUUCUAUACUUAAAUUUUAAAUGUUUUUGAUCUGUAGCCUAAUCUUAAGCGUGUCUUCACUUUCCACUUGUUUAUAUAUGUCAGCAGUCAUCAGCUGCGUGGUCCAUAUACAAAAAUCACAUGACUUUGUAAUCAAUACUGCGCGCCCCCGGUUUGCAGUUGACCCCUCGGCAACCUUGAGUCGUCCGGAGCGAUCUGACUUUUCGCGGGCCCUUAUCGCGGAUUAUUCAACAUCGUCGAGCUUCCCUUGAUCUUGCUAUAGGUGAACUGUUUUGUGUAAGCGUUUUUUUUUUCGUUUGGCAUGUUAUAUAUAUUUCAAAGUGCUCCACUAUCAGUGAACGGUACAUAGAUCACACGUUCUUACGUAUUUACGAUGGGGGUUGGACGGUCGGUCCCAGAAAGUUGCACUUUCAGUUCUGACUCGGUCACGAUCGGGAACGAAGGCUUUCCCUUGCUGGGGUUUAAUUUGGUCGCAUUUUGGAUUAUUCAAUGAACUGGUCUCAUUACCAGUUGAACCGACGCUGGUGAGGUUCCGUCGCGAUUCGGAAUUCCGUUAAUACACAUUUUGUGGAAUUUGUGGUGUUGCUGUAGAGUGCGAGGUUGAACGAGGACGAGGUCCAAGAUGUUUUUCAAAAUCAGUGCCUAAACGCCAAAAGCAACCCAAAUGAUAUACCUGAUGCUCACUGGUGUAGUGUUGUUCGCUUACAUAUUCCUGCAAAAUU